AGUUUGAGAAAAGUCUACUAUUGACAAAUAAAAAUAAUUUAAAUAGCAAACAAAAGCAAGGCACAGAAGAAUCCUCAAGUAGCAUUUAAUUGCAAAGGACAUUUCAAGGAUUUUUAUAUUUUCCCAAAGAAAUCCUUUGCAAAGUCAUAUUUCAGCAUCAACUUCACAAUCAACUAUUUUAUACUGAAUACAGUACCAAUCAAGUUCAACAUCAGCUCAGCAAUUCACUGUGACUAGACUAAGGAAUGUAAAUGCCAUUAAGUGUCCUUCAAGUCUUAUGUUAAGCUUGAGCACCAAAUGCCUUUGUAGUUCUUCUAGGGUAUUACCAUUAGUAUAGAAGGGUUAAUAGCAAAGGCUGAUGAUUGUUUAAAAAUUCACAUUACCAAAGUGGAUUACAUUGCAUCUACUGAGGGGAUCAACAAUGUAAGCCUACACUAAGCCAUUAUUGCAGAAACAAAGCUUGCAUUUUAAGCCUUUGGAAACAAGCAUAAAAUGGACAAAAGAAAAAAUUCUUCUGAUGUAAGAACAAGGCAAACACUACAUGCUUUUCAUACAGACUCACAUUUUCAGAGCCAUACAGAAUACAUGAAAACGGUCAAAUAGUCUCCCCUAAAAGCUCAUCAUGAACUCCUGACAAGAUCAGCAAACUUGAAGAAAAGGACAAAAUGGAUAACUGACCAACCAAAUACUCAGUAUAAGGAAUGGAGAAAAGGAGAAGGGAGUCACCAAUGGUAUUGCAAUGUCAGAAAGCAGGAUUAAAACCACUCUGCAGUCACAGGUACGUUUUUCCUGAGAAGCAGAACUUUUGCAAAACUGCACACGACCACAACUUAGAGUCCAAAUCAUUAAGUAUGUGAGAGAACCUUGUCCAGGCACACACAGUGUGUCUCUGCCAAGAUACAGGAGUAUCUAUAAAGAAAUCUCCAAUGGCAAUGUCCUAUUUGUCUUGUGAGUAAACGUAAGCCGUCUCUCCUGUUAAAAAAACUUUUGUUUAGCUUUCUCUUAUUUCUCUUAACAAAAGUCUGGCUAUUCAAAUAUCAAAAGAAAGUAUACCAGUAAGAAAGCAAAGGAGAGAGAACCACCCAAUUAUCUGCAGGGAGAGAAAACAAACUGAGCUGCUGGCCUCAGCAUUUCCUACUGUCCUUCUUAAUUCAAUACCUGACAGAUUGCAAGUUCCUAGGAAACAUGGGGACCUGGGCACAUGAGAAGUUAAAUCCAUAAAAUUACAGGAUUUCCAGAAAAAGUCAUAUAGAUGCAAUCUGCAAACCUUAAUCAUUCUCAGCUGGCACUUCAACUUUGUAGGCACCACAUUCCCUGUAAUACAUCAUGCAAAGACACUCCAGCCUUUACUCAUGUCAGAGUCAUCCCAACUUUGAAAAAACUGAGGAUGGUCUCAAUCUUGUACACUACACACUACAAUAUGAACCCUAGAUCUGUUUCAUUUCUGCUACAUAAUUUCUGGUUUAUUUACUCCAUAUCAAUCCAUGAUCACAAAUUCUCCCUCGCCUUCACAUUUCAGGAAAGAAGAAGUCAAAUCACAGAAAUAUACUGUAAAAAUGUUUUAGCAAUAGCCAGCUAAUUAACUAACCACAACACCAUCAUAACUCUCACACAAAAAAUAAAAACAAUCAUUGCUAAAGCAAUGUGGCAGAGAGAUUAUCUUAUCUUUCCAGGUAUUCUGGAGAAUAAAUAUAAAGGUGAGAUCAUAACCCAAAAUAAUUAUUAAGAAGUUAAAACAGAAGAAUUGAUUUCUGGCUAGUACAAAAGAUAUCAGGAUCAGAAUGCAAUUACAACAUAACAAGUAAAGCUCUAAGUUACAACAUGUUUGCUGUAAAAAAAAGUUACUUAAAGCCCACAAGACAGGUACCAUGCACCUCUCUUUCAGCAUCCUAAGAAGCUUAAAACCUCAGGCUCAGACAAGGAAACUAAUAAGAAAGAAGAAAAGGUCAUAAAAGUGCUACAGAGAGAAAAGGAAAAUAAUUAAUUUUUAAGCAAGGAAAAUAAAUUAAUCCAAAACCACUAAGUUAUCUGCUUUUCUGGAAACAGUCCUACAUGUUAGACCAUAAAAAAUCUAAAACAGAUAACCAGUGUUACAAAACAUAUCACAGUUCAAAAGCACUUGGGGAAGAACAUAAUACAUUUGCAUGUCUCUGAAUGAACUAUCCUGAAGGAUGAAAACAGAAUACUCUAGAUAUAAAUUAAUUGAGGAAGUUGUGUUGUUUUGUAUUCUAGGGGGUUUUUUUUCCCCUCAUUACAGAAAUUGCCAGAUCUAGAGUUUACUUAGAACAGCCUGAAAACUAUCAAAAUCUGCAGUGGCACAUGCUGCAUUACUUACAAGUGAGAUUUUAAGAGGUCAGUAAACAUGAAAACCACUGGGUAUUUUUUUUCUCCAAAUAUAUAUAUAAGGAAUAGCAGAAAAGUAUAAAAUUAUUUAGUAUUCUACUUUAGCAGAAUAAUUCUACUAAAUACUAAGCCUUUUUUAUUAGUAAAGCCUUUCUUUUGACUGUUACCCUCUUUUCCACUGUUGAAGUAAUCCAGCAGGUUUUAAUUUCUGCACCACUCAGUGUAAAAUGCAUUCUUCUUUGUUAAUGAUGUUUUCUCUGUCAAAAGCAGGAGCUUGAUGAACAGGCUGAAAAGCCACCUAAUUUCACUGUUGCUGCUGGAACACUUACUUUAGCUUUGUCAAAAGCCAUUCCAUAGUAUUUCAUAGUAAUGUUCAAUGAAAGAAAUGUUCCACCUACUAAACUGAUUAUUACUUUGUGAAGGUAGAAGUUCAUUUAUUCAACAACAGAACUAAAAUAUGACAAACCAGAGCACUUAACACUGUGAUGCUGUAACUUACAUCCAGAUCAAAAAUGAAUAGCCAUUAAGGAAAGAAAUGUCAGUGAAGACUUUUUAAAAGCUCAAGAAAUACAUUUGUAUUCUUCUGUUACAUUAUUAACAAGAGCAAUAAGAAUGAAGUCACAAUAAUAUAAAUAAUUUAGGUUUUUUCUGUAACCUAGUUUGUGUCAGAGCAGGAUGAAACUAAAAAAUAAGAAAAAAAUGGUUUAUAAUCCAAACUAUUUCAAUGCGAAUUAACUGAAUUUCUUAUAGAAAGCAUUUCACAUUAAUUAUAAAUAGAGUUUCAUAUUAAAUAUGGCAACAUAAUUACUAAAAUUACCAAAUUCUUUUUAUAAUUUCAAAAAAAUAUGUUGACAAGACCUUUCUAAAGGCUUAGCUUGUGAAAGCGUCACUGAGUCAGAAUCAGUUUACACAGGUAAAUAAUCCCCUUCCAUAUAUUAUCAACUCAGUCUUUAAAAUAUCCAUUGAAGUGCAUUUUCCAAAAGCUUUGGUAGCCUUUCACUAACUCAAACAACAGAAGAAUGUUUCCUAGUUUUCAAAUUAAACUCAACACUCCAAAUGAAGCUGCUAGAAUGAAGUGAAAAAAAAAAAUUAGUUGCUAAUAACUCUGUAACAUUCUUUUACUGUCCAGUCCUCUCCCCUCUAGUAUAAACAAACCCAACUAUUUCAAGGUUUUGAGGACCUACAUUUCCUAAACUCUGUAGACCUCCUUUAUAGUUCUUUUUUAAGGCUUGUUCUUUUAUAAAGUUUCCAUAAUUCUAUAAUCAUCUACAAAAAAGUUUCCCAAUCUAGACCCAGAUAAGCACCAAACAGAUGAUCCAGCCUUAUUACAGCAGGAGCUUUAGCAGGUCAGAGAGACUAAAUGCCUUUUCUGCAACAGAACUAUAACUUAACAUUAUCCUGUGACCAAAACCACUCACAAGUUGUAUUUUGUCAUGAUACCUUCUGUGUGCUUUCUGCAUCAAUUUCUCCUUCUCAACACUGAUCUUCACUGUAUUUUAUGAGUGGCUUUCAGAUCAUCUGUAUAAUACACUACACACAUCAUCAACCCCAAUGCCAGCCAAGGUGUCUGCAGCAUCCACUCCCUGACCACGUACCCCAACCCUGUAUUUUACAAAGGUAGGCUAACUCCAACACCUGGGUAGUGAGAGCAUAAGAAGGCCUAAGACUGCACUUGUGACACCUUCUCAGCCUAACACUGAAUGGCUGUUAAAUGUUCCCAAGAGAGCAGUUUCAGCUAGAAAGAUUGGUAAAGAUUUAUCUAAUCCUAAUUCCUUAUAUCAUUUAUGAGAACACAGAAGAAAACAGAAUAAUAACAGAAGAUACACAGGUCAUUGUCCUAGGGUGACAUUAUGAGGCUCAUAUCCCCAUUCGUGUGUUCUGCUUAUGCUGGAUAUUAUGUUCUGUGCCUUCAAGACUGGCUCUGAAGAGCAAAUGGUUUGGUUUGGUUUUGUUAUCAGCCUGCUCCCCCACAGCUGGCAGGACACAGAGACAGGCAGUACAUAGUGCAGCUUUUGCUUUCUGCUUUGCUCUUGCUUUUGCUUCUGCUUGUUAGUUAGUUCAGCUAAGCAGUUUGACUUUUCCCUUUUUUUUUUUUUUUUUUUUCUUUUCUUUUCCUUUCUUGGAAUCAUUUGAACCUGCUCUGGACUGGGACUGGAGAAACCCCAACAGUUUGCACCUGGUGGUCUGCAGCAGCCAUCCCCAGUGCCAGAGGGACCGAUAACAGAGCAACCACUCCCAAGAGAGACUUUCUGAAUUUGUCAUCUUUUUCAGAGCAGGGAAAGAGUAUUGUCAUCCGGUAUUGUUCAUUUUUUGUGCUGGGGGGUGUUUUGCCUGUUAAAUAAACAGGUUCUUUCCACUUCUCUCCAAGGAAUCCUUCCCAAACCGGUUGUGGGGAGGGGUCCCCUUUGGAGGUUUUCUCCGAAAUUUGCCCUAAACCAGGACAGUCACAUGCACCAUUCAACAUUUAUCCUGAAGGCAAGACUCCUUGUUCCAUUCCCACAGAAUAUGCACUUAAAAGUAGGGCAUAAACCAAGGACUGUGCACUGAUUUCCUAGAGUGCAACAUGGCCUUGCCCUGUUAAGACAAACAUGUGAAAAACAUUAAGCUGCAUCACCCUGGGGAGAAAAACUUAGUAGAAACACAGGCACUCUGCAGCCUCACCCUCAUCCUGACCACCCCACUGAGCUUCCAGCAGAACUUACAUACACACAUCAGCAGACUCGAGCUACCAAAAUCAUUUAAACUAUUUGAGUUCCAUGAUUUUAAAAAUAUGUCACCACCAUUUAGGCAGAUGGUGACAAAGUCAGCUCGACCAAAGUAAUAUACUGUAGGGGAUAGCUCAUUUGUCUUGGCUUCCAUCUCCUUAAAUGCAUUUAAAGAGUCAGAAGGAGCUUUUAUGACAUGAUCCUUCCAGCCUUGCCCUUUUCAUCUGGAUCUGUGAGAACAGAUUUCUCAAACACACACAGAAGAUACUUUCAGUCAGUUACCUAAUUCAAAGCACAGGCUGGCAGAAGUGGUGGCUCAGGAGACAGGAGCAAGGAAAGCUGAAUUUAGAGAGGGGUACAAAGAAUUUUUUGCUGUCAGGAUACCCCAAGACUUCCAGAAAUGUGGCAGGUAUAUUAGCCCCUGGAGUAGGCAAAAUGAAAGAGGAGGCCAUGAAGACAGAAGAAGAGUUUAAAAAAUUAUCUUUUUUUUUUUUUUACUUUCUGCCCCACCCCC